AAUCCUGGCUCAGGACGAACGCUGGCGGCGUGCCUAACACAUGCAAGUCGAACGGAAGUUAGAGCUUCGGUUUUAACUUUAGUGGCGAACGGGUGAGUAACGCGUGAGGAACCUGCCUUUCAGUGGGGGACAACAGUUGGAAACGACUGCUAAUACCGCAUGAUGCUUUUGGGAGACAUCUCCUGGAAGCCAAAGCUUUAAGUGCUGAAAGAUGGCCUCGCGUCUGAUUAGCUAGUUGGUGAGGUAACGGCU
rnacentral:rRNA from 1 species